AUUGAACGCUGGCGGAAUGCUUUACACAUGCAAGUCGAACGGUAGAGGGGGCAACCCCUUGAGAGUGGCGAACGGGUGAGUAAUAUAUCGGAACGUGCCCAGUCGUGGGGGAUAACGUAGUGAAAAUUACGCUAAUACCGCAUACGAUCUAAGGAUGAAAGCGGGGGAUCGCAAGACCUCGCGCGAUUGGAGCGGCCGAUAUCAGAUUAGGUAGUUGGUAGGGUAAGGGCCUACCAAGCCAACGAUCUGUAGCUGGUCUGAGAGGACGACCAGACACACUGGAACGGAGACACAGGCAAGAGUCCCACGGGAGGCAGCAUUAGGGAAUUGUGGACAAUAGGCGAAAGCCUGAUCCAGCCAUUCCGCAUGCAGGAUGAAGGCCCUUGGGUUGUAAACUGCUUUUGUACAGAACGAAAAGGUCUCUAUUAAUACUAGGGGCUCAUGACGGUACUGUAAGAAUAAGCACCGGCUAACUACGUGCCAGCCGCCGCAGUAA
rnacentral:rRNA from 1 species